AAAAAAAAGACUUCCAUUUUACCUUAGAAAUAGAUUGCAGGGUUGUGAAGUGAUCAUCUAAGCUGUCCUGAAAUGCACUAUUAGUCUGGGAGAAGCGAGAUGGUAAGCAAAUUCCAGCUUAGCGGCCACAAGUCAGAGAAGUUCCAGUGACAAGUUUCACAGUCGAGUGUAACCCUCCGGGGCCGAUGGCCACAAGCCCCAUGAUGUUGCGAUCAGGCCACUCUAUCCCCGAUGAAGCCGAAGUGUUCGGCCAGGGCCGCACCAUCUAAUAUGAUUUCAGAGAAAACCCCAAGAAGUUUUAGAAAGCCCCAAACUUGUUUUCUCUCUCUCUCUUUUUUCUUUCUUUCUUUCUUUCUUUCUUUCUUUCUUUCUUUCUUUUUUUGCUUGCAAACAAGGAAAUCAUUGCUUUGGAAAGCCAGGGUCCAUUUGGUUUGUGGGUUUGUCCCCCCAAGGACUGCCGGAGAUCCCAUUUUCCACCUAAGCCUGAGCUUUACAGCUUGUGGAUUCUGUAGCUUAUUUAAGUAUAUAUACGGGAGGUGGGCAAGAGGGAGAAAUGCAUGGGAGCAAAGCUCUCCCACUUACGGUGACCAGAGGGAGGCAAUGACAGAGGGUAAGUGGGUUUGGAGGCACUUUUCAGUGGACGACAAAGAGCUUGUGCACCGAUAUUCCUCCAGGUCUAGCUCCUGAGUCCCAAGGCUGACUGCCAUCCAGCUGCGCCCUUCAUCACUUCGGGAGUAUAGGCCAUGGCAAGCUGUGGACAGCUGGUGGAGAGCCACUGAAAAAGUGUUCUGCCAUGGUUUCUGCGGUCUCCCAGAUGCCUUCGUGGAUUCCAGGCGAGGCUUUCCUCCGAUUGCUUGAGGAGAAUCAACAUCUGACCUUGGAUAACAUGAUCAAAGAUCACCAAAGAGCGGCUCCGAGGACACCCUGAGGGACACAUGAAGAUUGCUAUUAUGUUUCCUGCUACUUAAAACUUUGUAGCUUGGGAUGCCAAAGAGGAAGAAAGAAGCUUAUCUAUCCAGCUAUUCUCGAUUCUAGAGUAAUUUGCUCUUCUCAUUACUGUAUAUCAAGAAAGUAGAGAAUUCAAAGGCUGUCAUUUAUUUCACUAAUGGAAUUAAAAAUGCAUGUGGUCCAGAGCACUGAUCAAUGCCUUGCUAGUUGUGAUGGAUUAUGGUUUGGUUAGAUAGUAUGACCUUUAAUUACCUGAAAAAAUGAAAUUUUCCAAUGUCUUUGCUGUUUUUGUUGUG